GGGGAUUUAGCUCAGUGGUAGAGUGCUUGCCUAGCAAGCGCAAGGCCCUGGGUUCGGUUCCCAGCUCCG
rfam:Rattus norvegicus chromosome 17, whole genome shotgun sequence.